GGGUCAGUAGGUUGGUCGUGCCACCGGUACGUACUGGUCUCACUGAUUCCUCCUUCCUGAAGGACCGUAAUGCCAUUAAUUUGGUGUUGCGGGGUAACAGGACUGUUACUUUGAAAAAAUUAGAGUGUUUAAAGCAAGCUAACGCUUGAAUACAUUAGCAUGGAAUAAUGAAAUAGGACGAUCGAUCCUACUUUGUUGGUUUCUAGGAUUGACGUA
rnacentral:rRNA from 1 species